GAACGCGGGAGGAGAGGGACGAAACUGACAGAUGGGCCCAUCUGUCAGUGAGUGGCCUAGCCACCGCAACCGCGCCAGGGAAAGCGUCUUCUCCUUGCGCUAGCGCAUUUUCUCCCGAAACGUUUUCUUCUAUUUGUUUUAAAAAAAACAGAUUUUUGACCAAACUUUGACUGGCUAUAACUUUUGAUAGAAAACUCCAAAUGAGUUGAUUCUUUUUCUCACCCCUUUCAAAUUAUGUCUAGUUUAUUUUAGUAUUUAUUUGAAAAUUUUCUAAGACAACUUUGUGUGCUGUUUUUAUAUUGUGUGUUAAUUAGCAUAUAUUUUUAAAUAGGCUUUGAAGAGAGGAGUCAAAACUUGCAAAAGUUUUGUGGUGAACCCUACCUCUCUACACUUUGAAGGCAAGCAUCCUGAACCUACAUUUAUCUUGGUUAUGAGUGUUUUGCUUGGUGAAAAUAACAUAGAGUUAUGUUAUAUAUGUGGUGUUAUUUCAUGUGACNUUGGUGAAAAUAACAUAGAGUUAUGUUAUAUAUGUGGUGUUAUUUCAUGUGACAAUCAUGCAUGUGGUUCAUAAUUUAUGAGCAAGGAUUGUUGCAUUAUGGUGCAUGGACGAUGGUCACCCUUUCCUACCCUAGAUGCCUACCAGAUGGGAUUCGGUGAGAGUCGGUGUCUUGUGGAGACACGACCGUGGAAUUGACACCUCGUGGACGAGAGUGGUCAGCAAGGCAUGUUAGGCGGGUAGUGACUCUGUCUGCAUAUGGUUUGAGCUAAUCAUGCAGGUAAUACUUAAACCUCCUGAGUCGACCAUAGAUCGAGUCUUGUCAGUAUGUCUCCUCAUUUGCGUGCUACCAUAGCUUCCUGGAUAAUGUAUUCGGUAUAGUCAGUUGCAGACCUAUUAUCAGUCACACACCAGUAGAGGGGCUGGGAUGAAGGUAUCCACGGCUGUGGUCUAAAUCCAGUCAUACGGUCAGGGGGCAUGGGUGUUUCCGAUGUGGGACCGGAAGGGAGGGCACUCCCCGUGAGCGCGCGAUAUAAUUAUUUUUGAUCCCAUGCUCGUCGAGGUCGGAGCCUCCCGGUCUUAUGGUUUUGCCUUGGCAGCGUAGUUCGGGUGAAGCCGGGCUCCACUGAGGCUAAAAAUGGGUGUGUGCUAGUUCUGAGUGUCCGCUUCUAAAUUGCCGUACGUGAAAUUAGUCAUGAUGACUAUCGAAAACCGUGAGCCAUGGGUAAAGAGUACACCCUCUGCAGAGUCAAAACUAUUCGAGUAGCCGUGUCCAUGGUUAAGGACGUUGGUUGACUAGUCAAGUGUCAGUCUAAGUGUCGGUCUUCGGAGGUAGUUAAAGGAGUAUGGAACAAAUCGGGAAAUAUGGUGGAUGAUUAUAAACAUUAUUUUCUGUGGACUAACCCUUAUGAUUUUUAUUGUUGAAUAUCCCUGGGACGGUUCUACCUCCUGGAUAUUCUUUAUUAUUUCAUAUAAGCCCUUUAUGUGGUGUCGCUGAGACGCCCGACCGUGGCAUAUUUAUUAUUUCAUAUAAGCCUUUAUGUGGUGUCGUUGAGACGUCCGACUGUGGCAUGUUUAUUAUUUCAUAUAAGCCCUUUAUGUGGUGUCGCUGAGACGCCCGACUUUGGUAUGUUCAUUAUUUCAUAUAAGCCCUUUAUGUGGUGUCAAUGAGAAGCCCGACUGUGGCAUGUUUAUUAUUUUAUAUAAGCCCUUUAUGUGGUGUCGCUGAGACGCCCGACUGUGGCAUGUUUUAUAUUGCAACUGUUAUUAUUACCCUUAUUGAUUGCUUAAUGAAUUUCAGUAUGAAUUAUGGUUUCACUACUAAUACUUGAGUAGUAUUUCUGGGUUGACAAAAUAUUGUGGCUUUGUUAUAAGUGUAUAAUUAAUAACUAUAUGUUUGUUUCUUGAUGUUUGCGAGUACAUUCAAAGUACUCACUCGCUUGUCCCUGGCUAUUGUCUUGGCCAGAUUGCAAGCUUGGAGAGGAUAUGCUUGACGAUAAGCUUGGAGCAUAGGCUUCGAGGAGAGCAGUCGCGCAAGAUAGGAAUUAACCCGGUCAGCUGUUCCUGUGGGAAAUGGAAUCCGAGAGAAGUUGGAGAUUCCUGAAAUGCUUCCGCCAUCAACAACUAGAAACCCUUUUUGAUGUACUCAUUAGACCACCUUGGUCUUGUACCUUGAUACGUCUCCGUCGUAUCUACUUUUCCGAACUCUUUUGCCCUUGUUUUGGACUCUAAUUUGCAUGAUUUGAAUGGAACUAACCCGGACUAACGCUGUUUUCACCAGAAUUGCCA
rnacentral:lncRNA from 1 species